rnacentral:lncRNA from 1 species
GAGACAAUAAAUUAAAUCAUCAUAAACUGGGUUAUACAAUUAGAACACAUCUCGUUCAAAAUACGUAAAAAGGCUUAUGAAUCUCAUAAAAAUCUAGGCUUAUGCCAUAAAUCCAUUCUCGGAGACACCUUGGCCGAGGCAUCCUACCGAGACCGCCAAGGCUAUUAAAAUUCACAUUUCACAUAAAUCAUGUUUUUGUUUUGAAAACAUAG